rnacentral:sRNA from 1 species
UUGCACCAGUUGUGCGCUGCGGUUGCUGCGCGCCGUCCGCACCCAACUGACGACCGCCCGAAGUUUUAGUAGCC